rnacentral:rRNA from 1 species
ACGAACGCUGGCGGCAUGCCUAACACAUGCAAGUCGAACGAGACCUUCGGGUCUAGUGGCGCACGGGUGCGUCACGCGUGGGAACCUGCCUUUAGGUUCGGAAUAACUCAGAGAAAUUUGAGCUAAUACCGGAUGAUGUCUUCGGACCAAAGAUUUAUCGCCUUUAGAUGGGCCCGCGUUGGAUUAGCUAGUUGGUGGGGUAAAGGCCUACCAAGGCGACGAUCCAUAGCUGGUCUGAGAGGAUGAUCAGCCACACUGGGACUGAGACACGGCCCAGACUCCUACGGGAGGCAGCAGUGGGGAAUAUUGGACAAUGGGCGAAAGCCUGAUCCAGCAAUGCCGCGUGAGUGAUGAAGGCCUUAGGGUUGUAAAGCUCUUUUACCCGAGAUGAUAAUGGCAGUAUCGGGAGAAUAAGCUCCGGCUAACUCCGUG